AUUGAACGCUGGCGGCAGGCCUAACACAUGCAAGUCGAGCGAGCGGCGGACGGGUGAGUAAUGUAUGGGGACUGCCCGAUAGAGGGGGAUAACUACUGGAAACGGUGGCUAAUACCGCAUACUAUCGGAUAACCCAUAUGGGAUUAGCUAGUAGGUGGGGUAAAGGCCCACCUAGGCGCCGAUCUCUAGCUGGUCUGAGAGGAUGACAAGCCACACUGGGGCUGAGACACGUCCCAUACUCCUACGGAGGCAGCAGUGGGGAAUAUGGCACAAUGGGCGCAAGCCUGAUGCAGCCAUGCCGCGUGUAUGAAGAAGGCCUUCGGGGUGUAAAGUACUUUCAGUCGUGAGGCGUUACCGACAGAAGAAGCACCGGCUAACUCCGUGCCAGCAGCCGCGGUAAUAC
rnacentral:rRNA from 1 species